UUUUUGCGAGAGUGAUGGAAGUGGAGCUCUUUUUUUGAGAGACUUUUUCAGUCUAUCAAAAAAAAGCGGGAACGGACAGCACGACCCGGA
rnacentral:sRNA from 1 species